GCAGCCGCGGUAAUGCGGAGGGUGCAAACAUUAAUCGGAAUUUUUGGCGUAAAGCACACGCACGCGGUUUGGUAAGUCAGAUGUGAAAUCCCCGCGCUGAACGUGGGAACUGCAUUUGAAACUGGCAAGCUAGAGUCUUGUAGAGGGGGGUAGAAUUCCAGGUGUAGCGGUGAAAUGCGUAGAGAUCUGGAGGAAUACCGGUGGCGAAGGAGGCCCCCUGGACAAAGACUGACGCUCAUAUACGACCGCGUGGGGAGCAAACAGG
rnacentral:rRNA from 1 species